UGGAAAAGCCUCUGGUGGUGAAAUGCAGGCCCGAAUUCCAGUCUCAGCUGCAGAAGAAGUGGGAUGGCUGGGGGGUGGGCUGUUGUUGCUGCCACCGUGAGUUGAGUGGAAAAGAUCCAUUCAGACCUGCAUUUUGCCAUCAGAGGCCUUUCCAGAAGGCCUGUGCAGCCAAGAACUGAGCUACAGAUUGAAUCCAUAGCUCGGUUCUCAGCUGCACAGGCCUUCAGGAAAGGCAUCUGAUUGUGAAAUGCAGGCCUGAGCUUUAUUUUAACUGCAGAAUGAAGCUGCUCCUUCGGCCAAAGAGGAAGUGGGCCGGUGAGGCAAGUGUCAAUCCAUGGGAGGCCUGGUUGCAAUGGUAAGCUCCACACCCACCCUAGCUUGAUUUUUAGGCAUGUGUCUUGCCCCAAAACUAGGGCUUAUUUUGGAGUAGGGCUUAUAUUAGGCCCACCCCCCAAAAAUCAACCUAGGGCUUAUUUUUGGGGUAGGCUUUACUUUCAGGGAAAUAUGGUAGCAGUUCAGCCUGAUGAAACAAAGGAAACAAACUUCGUGUUGAUUAGUUGCCAUGCCCCAAUCCCAGAAGACAGCUAGCAAAGCAGGUCCAGUGCCUGUGGAGACCCAGAGGGGCAAAAUGGGGGGUGGUGGUCAUAAGGGCAAACAACCACUGUGGUGCUGCAACAUACAUAACUUUGGGACUGGAUUGUAAGUACUUUUGGGGGGGGGGUCAUAAUUUUGAACGGUCACUGAUUGAACUGUUGUAACUUGAGGAAUACCUGUAAUUCAUGGAUAAAAAUUAGCUAAAGAUGAAUUUGAGGAAGGUGGGUAAAGAAUCAAAGCUAUACCCAACUAUAUGCAUCACAUUCACUUUUCCAGCCUCUAUCCUUAGCUGUUCCCAUUAACCAGGCAAACUUUGCUAUUAGUCAAUCAGAAGUCAGCUGAUAAAAAGUUUCAGUUUAAAAUACUCAAACUUGAGGUGGAGCUUCUGCAUGCUCAGAAAUUGCUACCCAAAGUUUAUUCUAUAUUCUAGCAGUAUAAUUUCUCAUUGUUAUUUUUCUAAAUUUGAGGAUUUUUUUAUCAGAAUGGUAAACUAACAGUUCAAGAAAAGCCAAUUUUUUAAAAAAAUGUUUCUCUGUUACUUGCAGGGCAUAAUUUAAAAGAUGGGUGCAUGCCUUUCAUUUGGUUGAGAACCAUGCCAAAUUUUACCUGCGAUCAGGAUCAUUUAUGAAUUUUCUGACUUGGUUUCUAACUUGCUUUAACCUUUCUUCUUUUGUGUACUUCAAGUAUCAACAGUCAGUGCUAUGACUGUAAUAUGCUAAGUUCAGAUGAAGCUGGCAGCAAUCUUUAGUUAAACUGGUUUUAUUACAAGUACAAGAUCACUAUCUGCUAUAAACAAGUCUGGCUUUCUCCUGGUUCUGUUAUUUUAGGAACUGUUAGAACUGUUUCUCUUUUGCAAUACAAACCAUCCCUUCUUAAAGGUUGGCAGGAGCUAGAUGGGAAGGUAACAGCCCUACAUGAUGUCAUGUUGAUCACAUGACGAUGGAAAUAUCUUUGGACAGCACUGGCUCAAUGGCCUUGAAACGAAAUGAGUACUGCCCCCUAGAGUCAAGAAUGACUAGCGGAGUAAAAUUUGCAGCGACUUCUUCACCUUUUAUUCAUGAACAAUAUUAAUGAUUGCCUACUAUAGGUGAAAAAAUGCUGAUAGGAAGGAGAACCUGAUAUUCCUCCAUCUUUCUAAGAUGAUGCUGAAUGACAUUUGUUUGUAUUCAAUGUUUAGUGUUGUAUUUUAGAAAUCUUGCAAUAGUUCUCAUUCAAAAUUGUGAAAAAUAUUUGCUUAUGAAAUUCUCAUGGUUGCAAAAACUGUACUCUGGCAUUUACAAUGGCACAUAUGCCUUUCCUCUGGGACCAUCAGCCAUACACACCACUCACCACUUCCUGAGUGCAGGAUUGGACAACUCUGUCCUCCUCCCAUUCUCAGCCUAUCACAAAUGCACUCUUUGCCUGUGUUUUCCAGCUUUGAUCCAAAGUUUCUGUUGGUUGCUGAUUUCCAUUCUGUCUUAGGUCCUUCUGAUUAGAUGGUCUGAAAUGCUUCCUUUUCGUUUAAUGACAGCCCCAGUUCCAAUUGGUUGCAAUACCUAGGAGUCAUCCAGAGUUGCUGGGUUCCCAUAUUCUGCAAUGGUUGGCAGCAGCUAUCUUUAAAAGGAGCUGAUCUAGUAAUAGCCAUGAACUCAAUGACUUUCUCCACCCCAUGCUUUCCCAUCCCCUCUAGAAGUUCUUCACUCAAUUAAACCCUUCCUUCUUUUUCAGUUUCUGCCCAACCUGGGUGAUGUACCAAACAAGAACAGCUCAAGGAUGGACAUCCAUGGAGAAUUUACAACAGUGCUUCUCAAACUUGGCAACUUUAGAUGUUUCUGGGAGAUGAUGUCCAUACAUUUUAAAGUUGUCAGGUUUGCACUAGAGUAAUAGGACCUUUACUAUGUUGGGAAGCUGUAUAAAACAAAACACCAGCAGUAUUACCAUCUGUCACCUCCCAUAAUCAAAUAAGCCUAAAAACACCACUAAGAAAAUUCAGGAACAAUUAUUUUUCAAUAAAUUAUACUUUGUUUUUUAUAAUUUAGGAAUAGUUCUGAAGCAUAUCAAGAAUAAGGUAGAAAAAAUCUUUUUCAUAAAUACAGAAUACUUUUGAGAAGUUUUGAUGGAGGUUUUGGCACAUUAACCUGAAAAAAAUAAAGUAUUCUAACAUACUAUUAUUCUUUUAGUCUUCCAUAGGGAAAAAAUCUCCAGUAUAUCCAUAAAGCACAAACCCUGGGGCAACAGAUAAUAAUUAUAACUAGUUUUUGUCAUAUAUCCAAUCCAGAAACAUUCAGAUUUUAAAAACAUAUGCCCACACUCGUACAAAGUUUUUGCAUCAUUUGGGGUUUUUUAGCCAAAUAUUAUUUUAUAAUAUGGUUAAAGUCCAUAUUAUCCAUCUUUUCUUCCAAUUAUAUGAUUAAAUCACAUACAAGAAUAAAAUUAUAUUAGAUAUAAUGCUUUCAUUAGAUCUUACAUGAGUGCUUUUCUUCAAAAAUAGUUCUUUCAUGAAGAUCAAAUAUUUUGUCAAAGGUCAAAAAAAAGCUUUAUAAUGAGAUAUAAUAAUAUACAGAGGAAAAAUAUCUAUAAAAGUUAAGUUAAAAGUUUAUAAUUGUUUCUCAAAAAACAAAUUAAUAAUUUAAUAAUAAAUAGUUUAUCAAUGAUUACAUUAUUGUCUAAAUAUUACAUUUUAAAGUAUUAUUAAUGAUAAUUAAAUUAAUGUUUAAUAAUUAAAUUUCUCAUUUGUAUCUGCAAAAACAAAACCUCCAUUAUCUUGUGUUUGUAUUUUCUUCUACCACUGAGUAUCUGGAUAGAAAGUUGUCGUGUCAUAUUAUUUAUCUCCUCAAUGGCUAAAUCCUCUGUGGUGAUUUUGAAUCAUCAUGGAACCUUUAUCUCCUUAGCAGUCAAGGACAACCUAAUUCCAUCUUUUUUUUUUUUUUUUGGCAACUUUAAAUCCAGCUACCAGCUUCUCAACCUAUAUCAACCUAUUGUAUGUGUGAAAAAAUGCUUCAGGUAUGGUUUGUAUGCCUAGGAAACCAUGUGACAAUCUGCUUACCUUCUCUAUUCCCUCAGAGUGUUCCUAUACUAUAUCACACUACCUAGAGCAGGGGUAGGCAACCUUGGCUCUUUUAUGACUCGUGGACUUCAACUCCCAGAAUUCCUGAGCCAGCAUGGCUCAGCUUGGAAACCUCUCCCUUUCCCCCCAACAUGGCUGGCUCAGGAAUUCUGGGAGUUGAAGUCCACGAGUCAUAAAAGAGCCAAGGUUGCCUACCCCUAACCUAGAGUGACAACUUUUUUUGUGCUACAGAAACAGAUUUAAAGGAUAAAGGUUAAUUUCAGUUUUCUAUUUCAGUAGUAUGUAGAGCCUGUCAUUAUGAGUUUUUCAGGCUCCUUUGGUAUGCUGACCCUUGUUAAAUUUAAGCACAGCUAUCUCAUUUGUGCUAGCAGAUCCUAAAUACAAUGUAAUUCUGAAUGCAAACUUAUAUUGUACUGUCCUUGCCCUACAAGUCUUAAAGUUGCCAAGGUUGGACAUCCCUGCAUUAAAGAGCCCAUAACACUG